UGAUCGUUUUCCGGGUUGGAACCGUGUUAAUUAAGUUUAGGGCUCAACGUUUCGCACACUUUCGUAGGUGGCAUCUUCAGGUUCACGGUUCCAACCCGGAAAAUUAUCAUGUAUUGAUUCCGACCGUGGAAGCCUCCGAAAUUAUAGCAUGCUGUAACCUCAAUCUCAAUUUUGUUUACAAAAUGGUGUACCUACUAAUAACGCAAUAGUAUCUACCUUGUUCAAAUAUUUGAUGGUUGAUUGGAAACGGUGUUGGCAACGCCUUUUACAGUGAAAAAUUGAUUCGAAGCGUAUGAUAGUAUUUGCUUUGCCCUUCAAAACGUGACCCGAGCCACGCCAAUGUUUUUUCUCAUACAGAUACAUAUUUAUUAAGUGAACCUUUUUUUAGGAAACUUCGGAUGUUAUCAAAUAUUUAGGUUAUCAGCCUAUCCAAACACUGGGAGCGGACAUUCUAUUUAUUUUAAUACUGUUUAUUUAAUUAUUUAUUUAUCAUUUUUGUGCUUUUACUGACAAA